rnacentral:rRNA from 1 species
GUGAAAUUGUUGAAAGGGAAACGCUUGAAGUCAGUCACGUCUGCCAGGACUCAGCCUCGCUUCUGCUUGGUGCACUUUCUGGUUUGAUGGGCCAACAUCAAUUUUGACCGUUGGAGAAAGGCUUUGGGAAUGUGGCACCUUUGGGUGUGUUAUAGCCCUUUGUCGUAUACGACGGUUGGGAUUGAGGACUGCAGCACGCCUUUAUGGCCGGGGUUCGCCCACGUACGUGCUUAGGAUGUUGGCAUAAUGGCUUUAAGCGACCCGUCUUGAAACACGGACCAAGGAGUCUAACAUGCCUGCGAGUGUUUGGGUGGAAAACCCAUGCGCGUAAUGAAAGUGAUAGCUGAGAUCCCCUCAUCGGGAGCAUCAGCGCCUGGACUUGAUCUACGGAGACGGUUCUACGGUAGAGCAUGUAUGUUGGGACCCGAAAGAUGGUGAACUAUGCCUGAAUAGGGUGAAGCCAGAGGAAACUCUGGUGGAGGCUCGUAGCGAUUCUGACGUGCAAAUCGAUCGU